rnacentral:antisense_RNA from 1 species
GGGCCCCGCCGGAAGCCCGUCCAGCGCCCAACAAAAGCGGCGCGACAAGUCUACGACUGAGCCGAACGCUUCUGGGCGCCGCGCGCCAGGGGGAAACGUUCGCGGGGGAACGUUCAGGAGAAAACGCUCCAGCAACUCCCAGCCGACCCCGCCCCUCCCCGACCUACCAUAGACGCCGUCCUCCAUGGCGGCUAGGAAGGCCCGCGGGGAGUCCGGGGCGGUCCCGCCAGUCGGGCCUGGAUCCGCGUUGGCCCGCGGGCUCGGAUGGGGAAACUGACAUGAAGAGGAGUCCAAAGUGACACAGUCAGGCCAGAAAUGUUGCUUCUGAAGUCCUGAGUCCACCUCCUAGCACUGCCAAGCAGUCCACCUGGAGGUGAUGAGAACUUCCAGGCUUUGGUAAUGGACAACUCUGUAUCCCUGGAGCCUUCAUUCCUUUUGGCAUUACAGAACCACAAGAAGUCAUCUAGAAUCAUUGAGAUUCUCAACUCCAUUGGGCAAACUGGAACCAGCAAAAUCUCAGAUAUCUAGAAUUGCCACUGCUUCCUUGACUCUGUGAUCAGUCUACAGCCACAGAAUCCUGAUUCCCUUUGGACAUUCUAGAAUGGCACUUAAAAAAAAAAUAACAACCCACCCA